AGCAACGCCGCGUGAGUGAUGAAGGUUUUCGGAUCGUAAAGCUCUGUUGUUAGGGAAGAACAAGUGCCGUUCAAAUAGGGCGGCACCUUGACGGUACCUAACCAGAAAGCCACGGCUAACUACGUGCCAGCAGCCGCGGUAAUACGUAGGUGGCAAGCGUUGUCCGGAAUUAUUGGGCGUAAAGGGCUCGCAGGCGGUUUCUUAAGUCUGAUGUGAAAGCCCCCGGCUAACCGGGGAGGGUCAUUGGAAACUGGGGAACUUGAGUGCAGAAGAGGAGAGUGGAAUUCCACGUGUAGCGGUGAAAUGCGUAGAGAUGUGGAGGAACACCAGUGGCGAAGGCGACUCUCUGGUCUGUAACUGACGCUGAGGAGCGAAAGCGUGGGGAGCGAACAGGAUUAGAUACCCUGGUAGUCCACGCCGUAAACGAUGAGUGCUAAGUGUUAGGGGGUUUCCGCCCCUUAGUGCUGCAGCUAACGCAUUAAGCACCCGCCUGGGGAGUACGGUCGCAAGACUGAAACUCAAAGGAAUUGACGGGGGCCCGCACAAGCGGUGGAGCAUGUGGUUUAAUUCGAAGCAACGCGAAGAACCUUACCAGGUCUUGACAUCCUCUGACAAUCCUAGAGAUAGGACGUCCCCUUCGGGGGCAGAGUGACAGGUGGUGCAUGGUUGUCGUCAGCUCGUGUCGUGAGAUGUUGGGGUUAAGUCCCGCAACGAGCGCAACCC
rnacentral:rRNA from 1 species